CUCCUGACCUGCACACCAAGAGAGGACAGGUCCUUACAUUCCCCGGGCACUGCAUGGGGCAAGCCCGGGGCAAAUGUCGGAACACGGGAAGGCCGUCUUUCCUGCUUCUUAGUAAACGGAGAGAAUGUGGGGAAAGUUAAGCUACAUUGAGAAGAGUGAAGAAUGCAAAACCAAGGGGGCAAGGUGGUGAGAACGUAAUAGAAAGAAAAGGUGCUUAACACAGAAAACCUGAAAGGCAAAUGUAAUUUUGAUGAUGUAACAAUAACAGAAACACAGAGUAAAACUGAAGAGGCUCACUAAGGACCUGUGAACACACGGCACCUCCAGACCUCAGCUCCGUCUGCCUGAUGGAGAAUGUUAGACUACCUGGUCCCUAAAGAGUGUUUGAACCUUCGAGUGUUGUAACUCUCUGAUUUUAAAAUUAAUGUAAGGUAAAUCCCUGACAAAAACCUCUGUAUUUGUCACGAGACAUUUCUUUGAAUAACUGCCUGUCUCGGCGGGGGCUCUUCUCAUUCUGAAGGGGGACACUCCUGGAUCCAGGGUCGCAGGUUGAAUUCACACCUGAGCCUGUGCCACGGUGUAGGACGCCCAGCAGCAGCUUUUGGAGAGCAGAGAGCCGGGGAGCGGCCAUUUCAGAGUAGGCCCAGGACAGCUGGGGCCCAGGGCCUUCCCAGCACAAGGUGGGCCAGGCCCCACAGGUGGCCCCAGAAUUGCAAAGCCAAUGGCAGCUUCCUAAGUGGUCACCGAAAAGCACUUGCAGUGUGGAGCCCCUGGCCUGUGCGGAUGCGGCAAUCCCAGCCAUCCACCUGACCUCAGGCUAGGAAGACGAUGGUGGCUAGAGCCGGCUAUUUGGGAAAGCAGCGGGACCCGUGGGGACGUGGGCUGCCCGCCACCAGGCGUCAGGCCUGCUCUCUGGCUGGCACCGCAUCCUGCUCACCUGUGUUGUGGUGGGCUCGCAGAGCAGGCCACUUGACAGGGGGCAUCCGGAACCGCCUGGUGCCAGCACAGCCUCAGGGAGCAGCCCCUAAGUUGCCCUGUGACAGCCCAUCGCCCACUUUCCCCCCGCGGGAAGUCUGUGUCGUGGUCAGAGCCUCUCACCCUCCCAGGGCCCCCACGCGGUGACCUUUGCUCUGCUCAGCACCUCCCAGGGCAGCGGGCAGCUGCACCCAGAAAACCGUCACACCUGAUCCCGCAGAGAAUGCCCCGUCCUCUCCAGAAUUCUGUCCAACUCGCACUGAACUCAACAAAGAGGAAAAGCCUUUUUCUUUUUCCAAAUCCACCUCCAUUUCAGAACAGACAGGGCAGCUUAGGACACUUACAAGCCCGAGAAAAGAGCCAGAUAAGGUAACGUGUGAAACGCUGAGAAAUCGGCUCAGUUUCCCUUUACCAGCCCAGUAAAGGAGCCAUCCCCGCAGGCACUUCAUCCCAGCAGGGCUGGAGGCCUGAAACUACAGGUCUAAACAUCGCGGGGUGUUCACCAGUUUCUAUUAAUUCCUGUCCUUAGAGAAUAUGAUCACUCUUCUUUAAUAGCUGUCAAAUAAUAGUAAACAGUUCUCAUUAAGAGUGCCAUCAGUGGCUGGGUGCGGUGGCUCAUACCUGUAAUCCCAGCACUUUGG
ensembl:lncRNA